GGCGGCGUGCUUAACACAUGCAAGUCGAACGAUGAACCUCCUUCGGGAGGGGAUUAGUGGCGAACGGGUGAGUAACACGUGGGCAAUCUGCCCUUCACUCUGGGACAAGCCCUGGAAACGGGGUCUAAUACCGGAUACGAGCCUCCAAGGCAUCUUGGAGGUUGGAAAGCUCCGGCGGUGAAGGAUGAGCCCGCGGCCUAUCAGCUUGUUGGUGAGGUAAUGGCUCACCAAGGCGACGACGGGUAGCCGGCCUGAGAGGGCGACCGGCCACACUGGGACUGAGACACGGCCCAGACUCCUACGGGAGGCAGCAGUGGGGAAUAUUGCACAAUGGGCGAAAGCCUGAUGCAGCGACGCCGCGUGAGGGAUGACGGCCUUCGGGUUGUAAACCUCUUUCAGCAGGGAAGAAGCGAAAGUGACGGUACCUGCAGAAGAAGCGCCGGCUAACUACGUGCCAGCAGCCGCGGUAAUACGUAGGGCGCAAGCGUUGUCCGGAAUUAUUGGGCGUAAAGAGCUCGUAGGCGGCUUGUCACGUCGGUUGUGAAAGCCCGGGGCUUAACCCCGGGUCUGCAGUCGAUACGGGCAGGCUAGAGUUCGGUAGGGGAGAUCGGAAUUCCUGGUGUAGCGGUGAAAUGCGCAGAUAUCAGGAGGAACACCGGUGGCGAAGGCGGAUCUCUGGGCCGAUACUGACGCUGAGGAGCGAAAGCGUGGGGAGCGAACAGGAUUAGAUACCCUGGUAGUCCACGCCGUAAACGGUGGGCACUAGGUGUGGGCAACAUUCCACGUUGUCCGUGCCGCAGCUAACGCAUUAAGUGCCCCGCCUGGGGAGUACGGCCGC
rnacentral:rRNA from 1 species